GAUACAUCACAUGUUUUAAGCAGAAGAGACUAUGAUGUCCAGAAUGAAUCCUCUACUUCAAACAACAGCCACACUAACUACCAGGGUGGAUCAUUCAUUGCAACUGGUGGUGGAUCAAGUGGUCAGGGUGGUUGCAUUUGUCCUGAUGGAAGCAGCGGUGUUAGACAGGGAGACCCUGGUUCUUCAUACAGCACAUAUUCUGGUAACCAGGUAAACAUUCAGAUUAAGCAUCCAAUUCAAAAGCUUCAUAUCAAACCUUUCCAGAAGGAGUAGCCAAAUAAUAACCAGUAACCCAUUCUGUCCUCUCUGCACA
rnacentral:lncRNA from 1 species